GGACUGUACUGCUGCCAUCUCGGCUCACUGCAACCUCCUUGCCUGAUUCUCCUGCCUCAGCCUGCCAAGUGCCUGCAAUUGCAGGCGCGCGCCGCCACGCCUGACUGGUUUUCGUAUUUUUUUGGUGGAGACGGGGUUUCGCUGUGUUGGCCGGGCUGGUCUCCAGCUCCUAGCCGCGAGUGAUCCGCCAGCCUCGGCCUCCCGGGGUGCCGGGAUUGCAGACGGAGUCUGGUUCACUCAGUGCUCAAUGGUGCCCAGGCUGGAGUGCAGUGGCAUGAUCUCGGCUCGCUACAACCUCCACCUCCCAGCCGCCUGCCUUGGCCUCCCAAAGUGCCGAGAUUGCAGCCUCUGCCCGGCCGCCACCCCGUCUGGGAAGUGAGGAGCGUCUCUGCCUGGCCGCCCAUCGUCUGGGACGUGAGGAGCCCCUCUGCCUGGCUGCUCAGUCUGGAAAGUGAGGAGCAUCUCUGCCCGGCCGCCAUCCCAUCUAGGAAGUGAGGAGCGCCUCUUCCCGGCCGCCAUCCUAUCUAGGAAGUGAGGAGCGUCUCUGCCCGGCCGCCCAUCGUCUGAGAUGUGGGGAGAGCCUCUACCCCGCCGCCCCGCCUGGGAUGUGAGGAGCGCCUCUACCCGGCCGCGACCCCAUCUGGGAGGUGAGGAGCGUCUCUGCCCGGCCGCCCCGUCUGAGAAGUGAGGAGACCCUCCGCCUGGCAACCGCCCGUCUGAGAAGUGAGGAGCCCCUCCGCCCGGCAGCUGCCCCGUCUGAGAAGUGAAGAGCCCCUCCACCCGGCAGUCACCCCGUCUGGGAAGUGAGGAGCGUCUCCACCCAGCAGCCACCCCAUCCGGGAGGGAGGUGGGGGUCAGCCCCCGCUAGGCCAGCCGCCCCGUCCGGGAGGGAGGUGGGGGGGUCAGCCCCCCGCCCGGCCAGCCGCCCCGUCC
rnacentral:lncRNA from 1 species